CACGUAGGGGGCGAGCGUUGUCCGGAUUUAUUGGGCGUAAAGAGCUCGUAGGCGGCUCGGUAAGUCAACUGUGAAAGCUCCGGGCUCAACUCGGAGAGGCCAGUUGAUACUGCCGUGGCUAGAGUCCGGUAGGGAGCGUGGAAUUCCUGGUGUAGCGGUGAAAUGCGCAGAUAUCAGGAGGAACACCAGCGGCGAAGGCGGCGCUCUGGGCCGGAACUGACGCUGAGGAGCGAAAGCGUGGGUAGCAAACAGG
rnacentral:rRNA from 1 species